rnacentral:tRNA from 1 species
GUAUAGCUCAGUGGUAGAGCACAUGCUUAGCAUGCACAAGGGCCUGGGUUCAAUCCCCAGUAC